CACCCAUUUUACAGCAAACCAAAGAGAGAGGAUGAUAUUGAUUCUGUGCGAUACAGUUCAGUUCGUUGAACUCUUUGAAUCAGGUAUUCUGCAGUUCUCAGUAAAUAAAUUAGACGGGCGGGCUCCUCUGCCAUCUCAAGGCAGUCUUGCUUGGAAUAAUCAGCUGCUCGUUUCCUAAAUAACAUUCCAAACUCCCACCUUCAAAGUCACUUGCAAAAAGGCAGAAUGAAAUGUGGGCCUGGGACUUCCAAGGUGGCCCCCACCCUUUCACCUUGUGCGUAUCCAGCAUCUGGCUUCAGACAUCCUUUCCAACUGAAAUGGAAACUUUCUGUGUUUAUUUUCCCACAAAUGCUGAUAUGCAGUUGCUGAGAGCGAGCCACAGGAUUGUGUGAUGUGGCUGUGAAGUGCACUGUUAGUUCUCCUCCCAAUCGCAGCGCCUCGAUUGUAACGGAUGCCUUUCAAAACAGGCUUGACUGGCUGGCGGCGUUCCAACAGGAUAUGAAAAAUGGAGCAAAUCUCACACCUGGGAAAGAUGCUGAAACUGCACGGAAGGAAUGGGGGCCCACGCUCUGCCUCACCCUGCCAUGUUAUCCAAGUCUCCAAAGACGAGGAAGGAAAGGUGAAUACACGAAGCUGAACCAGACAGUUGAUUUAUCAAGGGACCGACUUCCUCUUUCUGAUGGAACAACAGUGACAUCUAGUGGCCAUACUGAUGUUAGACCAGAAAAGAAACAAGCGCG